CAGCCCCGGGCGGGAGGAGGAGCUGGCCGACGCAAUUUAGGCUGAAGGGGAAGUCGUGUAGGUUACCCUGAUCUGCGGACGCGGGGAAGGCGACCCCGGGUCGCGCCAGAGAACCACCAGCCUCAGAGAAGGCGCGGGUUUCUGACUGUCAGACCUACGCGCGGAGAGUCCUUAAAGGAGGAAGAAUCCCAACCCUUCACAAAAAUAUAAAACCGUCUGGAAGAGGAGACAUCUACCGGAUGGAAGGAGAUAAUUGCAAAUAAAAGAUUGGCUAGCAAUAGAAUUCAAAGGACUAAAGAGUCUGUGUGAUGCUACAGAUGAAAGCUCUACCCAGAGCUGGAGCUGGGUCCUGAGCCACAGCAGACAUUCGUGGUGGUUGAUGAGCCAUCAAAGGUGGGCCUGAGGACCUAGUACCAUCAGGGUCUGCCCAGAUUUGCAUUUUGUCUUCACCCAAUAAUGAAUGAAUAUGGCAACAUUGGAAGUUUUGUGUUAAAGCUGGUGGAGCCACAAUGUGGAAGGAGCCCAGGACCCUGAAUCAGUGCCCAGAGGAAUAUAAAGAAUUGCAUUUUCUGUCCUCUUGAGGCAAACCCAAAAUCUCUGGAUGAGAAGGAAAUAUUCUAUGAUGAGGAACACCUGUCGACCUGGGUCUGGGGAGCAGAACUUCCCACCAAUCUGCAUUGGGCAUACGAAGAAGCUGAGAUAUAAGCCUUUGUUCUUUCCAGCCUCUGUGAUUGCUUUGUUGUUUGCUUCCAUAACCUAACCUAGCCUGUCCUGAUUGACACAUUUGCCUUGAAUGUACUAGACCAGCAUGUAAUACUGAACCUCAUAAACACUGACUGCCAUCCUGCUACAUUAGGAAUGAAAGCCAAGUUCUGUGUUCUCAGGACCUUCUGCUGAAUAUGUUUUGGCUUUGCUGGAACACACUAUCUCGAUUUGGGAGAAAGAAUUCAAGAUUGUAAGCAAACUUUCAUUUUUUCCCUAGAAAAACUAGAACAUUAGACCAAAGAUUGGAGCCCUCCAGCCAAGUCUUGUCAACUUAUCUCCCCUGGAGACUGAAGAGUGCUCUAGGAUUGGACUGUCCUCCAACCAUGACAGCAACCACUUCUACUUAUUAAAUAUUUUUGCCAGAUUCUCCUUUUAUAUUGUUGAGACAGCAUAGGAACCCAGACCCUUUUUUUCUUGUGCCUAUGUCAUAUUCAACAUAUCCAAGGUGUUCCCUGUACAUUUGCCUCAAAGCAGUGGAAAUGGACAUACCAUGAAGAGGGUACUGCAUGAAGGAUUUUAUAGGCCAGUCUGAAAUGGUAAAAUCAUCUCUGUUUACAUCCCAGUGCCUGGAACUUGGUCUUAUGGUCAUAUCUAAAUACCAUGGAGACUGGGAAAUGUAGUCUAGCUGUGCGUCCAGAAAGAAGAGGAAAUGGGUUUAUUGAGUCUACAAUGUGGUUUCAUAGCCAGACAGACCUGGGUUCAAAUUCUAGCCCUGCAAAUAAUUCUCAUGUGAGUCUUCAUGCCUCAAUUUCCUUACCUUUUAAGGGAUAAUAAAAUCUAUUUCAGCAAUUGUUGCUAAGCUUGAAUAGAAUAAUAAAUAUA